rnacentral:rRNA from 1 species
UACGGGGGGGGCAAGCGUUGUUCGGAAUUACUGGGCGUAAAGGGUUUGUAGGUGGCUUGCUAAGUCAGACGUGAAAUCCCUCAGCUUAACUGGGGAACUGCGUCUGAGACUGGCAGGCUUGAGUGCAGGAGAGGAACGCGGAAUUCCAGGUGUAGCGGUGAAAUGCGUAGAUAUCUGGAGGAACACCGGUGGCGAAGGCGGCGUUCUGGACUGCAACUGACACUGAGGAACGAAAGCCAGGGGAGCAAACGGG